GGGAAAGCCUGUCCACUCCAGGUCGGGGCGGAGAAGCCAUGUAACAGCUGUGUCUUCUAAGGCAAACCCUACAAGGACCAUCAAUGUCCAUGUCUUACAGGUUCAUGCUACUGUCUGCUCCCAGGUCUGGUGGCCUGCAGGGCCUUGCUAGCCACAGGAGUAGUCCACGGCUCCAAAGCCAACUCGUCCCUGACUCCUGCAGGAAAUGGGUGGACCUGGGUUUGAAGGACUUUCUCUCUAGUCCAUCCAUUUACUAUUAACCAGCUGGUAUAUUGCUGUCUCCCCCCCAGGGUGACAAAGACUUCCCCCCAGCAGCUGCACAAGUGGCCCACCAGAAGCCACAUGCCUCCAUGGACAAACAUGUUUCUCCAAGAACGCAGCAUAUCCAACAGCCUCGCAAGUGACCAACGCCCAGACCCCUGCCACCUCAGCAGCAGCAGCAGCAGCAGCACCUGUGCCCCCUCCAGGAUGCUUCCCCGACAAAAUCAACUCAAACACCUUCUACAGAGUUUACUAAAUUUAGAAAUCUAAGACAAAGCAAAGUGGGCCUCGGUUGUGUCAGAUCCCCAUGUUUAAAACUAGAAGAGGCUCAAACACCAAAUUUUGUUUCUAAGAGUCCUAGUCGAGUGUCAGUAAAGGGUCAUUGAACCCCUAGAAGUGCCAUUAGCAGAACAUGGCAAGUCCUGAGUAAAAGGAAGUCCUUCGCACUAUAGCAGUAGUUUAAAGUCCUUACUCGUGGUCCUAAGAGGAAGAGGCCACUUUGGAGAGGUUUGAUAAGGUUAGGAGAAGAAAAAACAAAACACUAUGGUAUGGUCCGAACAGCUGUGCUCCCUUCUGCCCCCAGUCCAUGGCUGCAAAUCCCUGUUUUUCAGAAAAGUCAAAGAGCUAGAUGUAGAGCCUUCUGGAGUGCUGCUCUUGGAGGGUCCUCCUGGCUGUCCCAGUGGCCUACAGUGGCUCCAGCUCAGUUCACGGUUGCUCUAUGAGCACCAUGUACGCCACCAGCCUUUCCAGGACUACUACAUGGCCUGUACCAUGUCGCUAAAGGAGGGAUGGGCUCCUCGGAUUUUAUGAGCAAUCCAGUAUCCCAACAGUGGCCUUCACAUGGAGCAGAACACAGCCCCCAAGACUGUGUUGUCAGUCUCUUCUUUGUAAUUACUAAAAUGGUGGGAACCCAGGGUCGCUUUGGAGACCCAGACUUGGCUGCAGCCUACAGCCUUGCUCAGUCAUAUGGAACCAAAUCUAGGAAGGGACCUUAGAGACAGCAACGCCAGUUCCCUGUGCAGACCUUCCCACGUGUUGCCUGCAUCCGCAAUCCCUUUUAGUUCAGCCACCUGAGGGGCUACCCCGUGUUCCGUGUACUCUGAGCUAGCUCCGGUGUGUGUCUGUGGACUCUGGGUCACUAAAGGUUUGCCCGAAUGAAUUUCUGAAUCUUUGGCGUUGAGAAGAUGUUGAUUCUAAUAAAGCUCCUGCAUUUCUGCCUCAGUGUCUCUCUUA
rnacentral:lncRNA from 1 species